rnacentral:lncRNA from 1 species
UUUUUUUUGUUUAAUCUUUCAUUGUUUAAUCUUUCGUAUACUGCCCUUGAGAGUAUUUCUCAGUCUGAGCUCUUGUUUAUUAAUUAUUCUUCAGUUGCAGGAGUCCCACUAGUUUCAUCUAAAUAUUCUUUAUUCCAACCAUUAUUAAAGCUCAUUAUUUCUACUUGAUUCAUUGAUUUCUUGUUUUUGCCUCAAAUUACCAAUAUCCUUCUUUGCCUCUCCUUUUAAACCAUUUUACUGUGAACUAGCAGACAUAUGUAAGAAAUACACAAAACAUUAAUGUACAGCCAAUGAUUGUCAAGUGAACACCCAUGUAACUAGUACCUAGGUCAAGGAAAAGAACAUUGCCAACACCCCAGAGGUCCUCUUUAGGGAUAAUUUGUAAACCUUUUAGGAGCUAGAAGCUCCUUUUACCCACAAGACCUAGCAUACUUCCUUACACAUAGUAGGUUCUCAAGUGAGUAAUAUAUCAUUUAUUUAAUGUCUACUUAUGGAAUACUUUCUACCUCCAAAGAUUCCAACUCUUUUGAAAUUAUCCAUGUGAUUUGCUUUGUAUAAUGAAAUGUGAGAAGUGAUUCAUUAUUUCCAAGAGGGAUCAUUAAGAGCCAUUGUAUGAUUCAGUAGGGUCCUUCACUCUGCUUGGGAAAUUAUGGGAACAGGUGUCAAAGAUCUGUCAGCCUUGCUCCCUGAGUAACUAUAAUUAGCAGCGCUAUCUUGCUGACACACUGGACAUGCAACAUGAGUGAAAGCUAGACAUCACACGAUUUGUGCAUCAGUACCUCCUAUCUUAUUUUUAUUAUAUAAAAUGCAAGAGGGUUCCUGGAUGGCUCAGUUGGUUGAGUGUCUGACUCUUGAUCUCAGCUCAGAUCUUGAUCUCAGGGUUAUGAGUUCAAGCCUACACUGGCUCCAUGCCCAGCACAGAGUCUACUUAAAAAAAAAUGGGGAUCCCUAGGUGGCGCAGCGGAGCAGAUCCUAAGGAAUGUCAUUCCCUUUCCAUGGAGAACGCCACCCCCCUUGCAUGGACAUGUUCUGGGACAGAGCAAGUUCUAAGCAGGGUGUUGAAAAUCUAGGGGGAUCAGACUCCCUACCUUUAACCUUUGGGGUCCAUACUUUCUUUGCAUUUUAAUAUUUUUUUGGAGGGGGUGGAAUUUUUAAACAUCAAAUAUAGUUCUCACAAUAUAUUGUGAGAACUAAUUUACAGGUGAUUCCUGAUAUGUGUUCCUGAUUUUUUUUUUUAACCCACUGUGACUAGUUUCCUCUCAUGUAGAAUGGAGAUUACUAUGGAGUGAAUGUCAUUGGUUUAUUGGGAAAUCUAAUUGGGAUAAUACUCAGUAUUUGUAUAGCUCUUAAAACAGAGUCUUGCACAUAGUAAGGAAUCAAGAAAUGUUCAUUAUUAUAUUGCAAGUUUAAUUCAAAACAAAAACAGUUGAAUAAAUACAACAUACAAUUAAUUUUAACAAUUAAGUUCUAUCAUUUUGUUAAGAAGUAUCAGGGGCUUUUACUACAGUUCUACACAAAUUUAUAAAAAAGACAUAUUUAUUUUUUAAAAAUUUAUAAAGCAAAGAAUUAAUUUUAUACUAAGUAGUAAAAUAUUAGAGACAUCUCGUAUAAAGAAGAUAAAAAUUUCAAGAAGAAAUAAAACAGAAAAAAAGGGCAGCCCGGGUGACUCAAGUGGUUUAGCGCCGCCUUCGGCCCAGGGCCUGAUUCUGGACACCCGGGAUUGAGUCUCAUGUCAGGCUCCUUGCAUGGCGCCUGCUUCUCCCUCUGCCUGUGUCUCUGCUUCUCUCUCUCCUCUCUGUGUAUUCUCAGAAAUAAAUAAAUAAAAUCUUUAAAAAAAGAUUAAAGCAGAAAAAAAGAAAUAAAAAGGAAUAAUAUUUAGAAGUGAAAUAAUAUUUUUUGCAUUCUGAUUAUAUGUCUGGAAACAUCAGAUUCCUCCAAAAUUAUCAAAAGAACAAAAGGGUAAAAUAUAACAUUAUUUAAUAACAAUCAAGUGGAUUAUUAUAUUGAUACAAAAAAUCAACAUGAAAUCAUGAAGAAAAUUAUCCAUUCACAAGUUACUUACAAAUUAAAAAUCUUUUUAAUUUGAUCAAUUUCAAAGAUGUAUUUCCUAUCAACUCCAUUGAAAGGAAGGUGAUUAUCAUGUCUCCAUUUUUAUUUUCUUCCUCUUACCCCUGAACCCCAUAUAGGUUGGGGCUUUCUCAGCUAUGUUGGUUCUAGCUUGUUUCCCAGACACUGAGAUGCCCCUUCUGAUGUUUUCUGGUUGGGUGAGCCCUGUUGAGCGGUUUCACUUCCACCUCUUCUCCCUUCACCAGAUAGGGAAAUGAAUCCUGGAUUCAGAGCUCCUCCCUGCCCUGCUCUGCCUCAUUUUCUCCUCACUGUCUGGCUCACAGUGGCCACUGCAGAUGCACCUGGAACAGAUAAGUAAAGAAAAAACCAUGUCCUUAUCCCUGAGUAAUUAGAAUUAAACAAAGCAAUGCACAUACAUAAUGAGUUAUGGGAGUUAUGGUUGGUUUGCCAUGCUCAGGGCCUUUCUUCCUGGGCUCCCACACUUAAUCACCCCAACCUUUCUACAGACCCCAACUAUGCUAACUCCUGUGUCAGUAACACCCACUUCUGCAUCUUCAGCCUCAACCUCUCUUGGAAAUGGGGGAAGCUGGUCCCAUGCAGGGCAUGAUGGGAGGGGAGCAGUGUGAGAGGAGCAAGCAGUGGGAACUGAUGGAGCAGGGGGGCCCAGGGGCAAACAAGAGGCAAGAGCUGCUUGUGAGGAGGCAGGGAGAGAGGAGGCAUCACCUGGGUAUGUCAGAGAUCUUCUGAGUCCCCAGUAUGUGCCUCAGGAGGUCAUACUCCAUGCUUUAUGCAAAAAGAACUACUUAGAAUCUAGCUCGGCUUUCAGGAUAAUUUCACGUAAAACAGAAAACCUGUAAUCAUUUUGGAUUGUAAAAGCAGACGUAUGUUUAAAAAAGAGAACUGCAUCUAUUUCUUUGAGCAUUUUAACACUAUGUGAAUUACUACGACAGGAAGCCUGGUGGUCUGAUGACGCAUCUUCUAUAAAUUGUUGCAUUAAAAAGGCUAAGCCUGUGAGCGCCUGGGUGGCUCAGUGGUUGAGCAUCUGCCUGGGUGGCUCAGGUUGUGAGCCAUUCCUGGGAUCCUGGAAUCGAGUCCCACAUCAGGCUUCCUGCAGGGAGACUGCUUCUCCCUCUGCCUAUGUCUCUGCCUGUCUUUCAUGAAUAAAUAAAUAAAAUAUUAAAAAAAAAAAAG